AUGCCAUGCAAGAGGAGUUGGUGCAAUUUGAAUUAUGUGUGGGAAUUGGUUGACAAACCGAAUCCCAAGAAGCACAAUAUCAUCAGCCCAAAAUGGCUUUUCCGAAAUAAGCAAGAUGAGAAUGACAUUGUGGUGAUAAAUAAAGCACGACUUAUUGCUCAGGGGUACACACAUGUAGAAGAUAUUAAUUUCAGCGAAACAUAUGCUCAUGUUGCACGCCUUGAGGCAAUCCGUAUUCUUCUUGCUUAUGCAAACUUCAAUGAUAUCCUGCUUUAUCAAAUGGAUGUGAAAAGUGCUUUCCACAAUGGUGAAAUUGAUGAGGGAGUUUAUGUUAGAUAG
rnacentral:rRNA from 1 species